rnacentral:rRNA from 1 species
UGGGGAAUAUUGCACAAUGGGCGCAAGCCUGAUGCAGCCAUGCCGCGUGUAUGAAGAAGGCCUUCGGGUUGUAAAGUACUUUCAGUCGGGAGGAAGGUGUCAAGGUUAAUAACCUUAUCAAUUGACGUUACCGACAGAAGAAGCACCGGCUAACUCCGUGCCAGCAGCCGCGGUAAUACGGAGGGUGCAAGCGUUAAUCGGAAUUACUGGGCGUAAAGCGCACGCAGGCGGUUUGUUAAGUCAGAUGUGAAAUCCCCGGGCUCAACCUGGGAACUGCAUCUGAUACUGGCAAGCUUGAGUCUCGUAGAGGGGGGUAGAAUUCCAGGUGUAGCGGUGAAAUGCGUAGAGAUCUGGAGGAAUACCGGUGGCGAAGGCGGCCCCCUGGACGAAGACUGACGCUCAGGUGCGAAAGCGUGGGGAGCAAACAGG